rnacentral:lncRNA from 1 species
AGCCCGCCGUGGUUAACGGCGGCGCCGCCAACCCAUCUUUCCCGGCGACGAAGGCUCAACUUUACGGCGCCACCCGCCCCACCUACCGCCCUCAACCCCACCACCGGCGCCGGAGCCGGCGACGGUGCUGCUGCACCUUCUUCUUCUGGCUGAUCCUCACCGUGCUGAUCCUCCUCCUCCUGAUCGGCGUCGCCGGCACGGUGUUCUACCUCCUCUACCGCCCGCACCACCCCACCUUCACCGUCACGUCGCUGAAACUCUCCUACCUGAACCUCACCUCCUCCUCCAACACCCUGAACUCCCGCUUUGACAUCACCGUCUCCGCCACGAACCCCAACAAGAAGAUCCUCUUCGCCUACGACCCCACCUCCAUCAC